CAGCCGCCGCGGGAAUACGAAGGGGGCUAGCGUUGCUCGGAAUUACUGGGCGUAAAGGGAGCGUAGGCGGGUCGUUUAGUCAGAGGUGAAAUCCCGGGGCUCAACCUCGGAACUGCCUUUGAUACUGGCGACCUUGAGUAUGGGAGAGGUGAGUGGAACUCCGAGUGUAGAGGUGAAAUUCGUAGAUAUUCGGAAGAACACCAGUGGCGAAAGCGACUCACUGGCCCAUUACUGACGCUGAGGCUCGAAAGCGUGUGGAGCAAACAGGAUUAGAUACCCGUGUAGUCCCUGUCUCUUAUAC
rnacentral:rRNA from 1 species